GAAGUGCUGUUGAGGGGAGAGCAAGAGAGUGUGUGUCUGGACCUGCAGAGAGAAGAGCUGCAGCAAGCAGGCCCUCGCAGAGUGAAGCAGCCAAGAAGCUGCCUGAAGCCUGGGAGGGACAGAGCAGCCGAUUGGGGACUCCCCAGGACAGGAGCCAGGAGGAGCACCGUGCCAGGCAGGAAUUGCCCAAGAAGGACAGGCUGGAGCUGGAGCCAGUAUCACUGCUGCCCAGAGCUGCCUGGGGCUGUGCAGAGAAUGCAAGUGACAGGGAGAGAGAGGGUGUGUCUGCCCCUUCCUUUUAUAGUCCCCUGCCCCUUUUGAGAAGCAUUUCCAGCUGGAAGCAAGGUGACAGGCUGACUGUGUGGAAGGACACUCCAUGCUGUUCUGCAGCUAAGAUGUAGAUUUUUGCACCUGGCUCCUUUCCUGCCAAAGAAUGGCUACUGAGCAGUGAGAGGAACUACCUUGCGGCCCUGUGCCAGUGCCAUCCUCAGCCGGCUCCUCCCUUGCUUCCUCCAAGGUGACAGAACACUAUCUCCACCCUCACUGUGCCCGUGGAGACAUAAGCAAGGAGUGGGGAGCUCAGAAACUGGGCUCCAGAGACUUGGAUUCUCUCUGAUGGUAACAUUACCCCCCUCGCCCCGCCCCGCCAUUUCCCCACAGUGCAAAUCACCCAGUCUCACACAGAGGACCUUGCUUGAUGCCAGUGUGUGUGUGUCUAGGUUUUUGAUUCCUUCCUUCCUGACCCCUCCAGCCAACCCUCAGUGCAUGGUCCCUUGUGUUUACUACAGGAGGGGAAGCAGGUUGCCUCAGAACUGGGGCUGAUAAGAGCCAAUGACAAAAAGAAUUGUCUACACUGCUGGGUGCAAGGGACUUCUCUUUGUGCACAGAGAGGGAUGUCUAUUGAAGCAGAAAGGCUCUGGGAAUGCAGUAGCUGAAUAAUAGGGAGAGAUUCUAGGUGUCAACAACAAAAGAGAAAUGGAGGUUAGGUUGGGAUGCAUUAGCUAACCUGACCCUAAAUGUGACCUCUUUACUAAUGUACGUGCAGGGUACCAGUUUCUCAGUUAACUUUUCAGGGGGUUCCCCAAGCUCUCCACAGGCUCCACCUUGGCUAGCUAAACCAAGACUGAGCACUUAUACUGCAUUGCCACUAGGGAAGUGGUCACUGUGAAGGUUAGUUAUCAUACCCCAGCCUGAUCUCCAGCACUUUUCUUGUGUAGACAAGGCCUGAAAGAGCUACAUCUGUCUGGCUCUGGUAAGCAGUGACCAAGUGGAGAGCACAUGAGCGCUGUCUGUAAAGAUCUGAAGGGGGUUAGGAUCUGGGGGUUGAGGGGAGAAGUUUAGGGGUAAAACUAGGAGGAAGGGAAUGAAAUGAAGGAAGGACAUUACACUUGAAGCUCAGUCUGUUUAUAAGGGAUCUCUUAGCCUGUGGAGUCUCUCCCUAAGGGAAAAGCUGGGAGCCCCUUCCCCCAGGACAUUUAAAUCUGGCUUGGAAAUCUCCCCUAUCUGGUUCUAGAUGUUGCUUCCCCCACUGGAAAUCCAAUGAGGGGGCAGGUGUGGAGGGGAGCGGGGCAGCCUCUUCUUUUAACAACUGGGAUCCAGAGUCCAGUCUGUAAGGCCAAGACAGCAAUAGGGUGGGAAACAUCAGGCUGCUAUUUGGGCUAGAUGAUUAGCCAUCUCCCAGUUUGCCUGGGCAGUGGCGUGCUACAUGUGGAAGGAGCCUCCUUUGGGGCAAUUUCCUUUUUUUUUUUUUUUUUAAAAGCAUUCAGUUAAUUUUGAUUUAAUAAAGGGAAGUGUGGAAAAGUGUCAUUUCCCCUCCCCCAAUUCCAGAAUAUGGGUUAUUGAGCUAGAGAGGUUUUCGCAGCCCCCUUCCUCUUCCAAUCCCUCCUUGGGCUCACUUUCUCUUUGAUGCCCCUCUCCCAGGUGGAGCCCUUCCAAGGCAGUUGGGUAGAGCACAACAACACAGCUCUGAACGGCAUUUGCCUGCACUGUGCUGACAACACCAUUGUUGAGUUCUUUGUGGGGCUUUGAAUAGCUCUUUGGUUCCUCUCCCUUUGAAACAUCCCUUGUUUUUCUUCUCUGGUUGUUGCCAUAUCCCAGCACCAGCCAAAUGUCUCUCACGGUCUCCUCCCCUUAGCUCCAUGAGGCUGAUCUGGAGUUUCUUCUGCUGCUGUCAGAUGUGGGUGGUCAUGCUUAGUGGUUGGAGCAGGUAGCCAGGAACAGGCUCUGACCCCGAGCUCCUGAGUCCAAGGCCAGCUGGCAGAGUCAGAAGUCAGGAAUUGGAUCCAAGGGUCAGGCUGGGCUCCCUGGGGUGACGCAAGGCAGGAUGUGGAGCAGGAGCAGGGCUGAAUUCUCGGAAACAACUGAACAUUUUGGCUGAACAUUUUCUAGAAAAAUGCAGCCUGAGGCAGUCACCCAGCAUGGAAAAUUUCAGGGCAAACAGUUGCAGUUUGACAAGUUAUAAGCAACUUAGAAGAACUGUUGGGCAAUUUUAAUUAUAGGCAGUGCCAGCAGCCCAGUCUAUACUAAUAAAUGGGCUCCUUCUUCCAGGUGUUGUCAGCAGCAACAAAGUUUGGGUUCAGCUAUCUUAAGGGGUUUCUCUUUAAAUUAACAAACAACAGCAGCUUGAGCCCCCACCCAGAAACCAGGGAAAAAUGAACAGAAGAAUGGCCAUACAGGGUUCCCCUGGGUUCCCUUAGCAGGCAAUACUUGCCCUCUCGCAAGCAUUGAAUCUGAAUAUAAAACAAGGAAGACUUUAUUUGGGUGCAAGGGGACACAGAAUCAACUUGGGGAAACACACCAACUAUGCACAUAAAUGAAUAAACUAGCCAACCUAUGAUAUCUUUGGCAGAAGUCUGUUAACUCAGUUCCCCACCCUCCAGGUGAAUGUCCAAUAAGCAACUGCCUUUUUCACA